UCCCCAGCCGGACCGAGCCGCUGGGCAGCCCUGCGAAAGGGGGUCUGGCUCAAGUCCAAGCACAAGCCGGGGUCCCGUGCACGUACUGCCUCCCCCGCGAUCUAGUUCUUACUGGCUUAGGUGGCGUAGACGCGGCCCCGGGGGAAUAGAGCCGCCCACCUCCCCUUUCACCAAAUGGAUGGAGAUGGAAAUUGGUGCAGAGAAGUGGGGCGAUGCUGUAACAAACACCUGCGAAGUGCGGACGUGGCUCUGGAACCGGGUCGGCAGAGGCCGGAGGCGUUCUGAGGAGCUGGAGAAAGCGCACAGCUGUGCAUGGACCCGUAGUGUGGGAAUGUGUCAGCGUUGUACCUGGGAAGCACAUCACUUGUGUGGCUUCAGAGGUUCCCAGCCGGAGAGGAGUCCGCUUCAGGAGGAAUCCUACCUCUGGUCCAGCUUUGGCCUUUUAGAUCAAGACGUUUCUUCUACAGACCACUUGGGGAAGACAGGUGAUAUCAGAGAAGAAAGUUUCCUGCUCUUGCCCCCUAGAGACAAUCGCCUUCCACUUACCCUGUCUCCAGAGGAAUGGCCACCUCAUUUUUCGGACUCCCCUCCUGUGGCCUUUCAGACAUCUGCGUGCGGGGCCAUGCCCUCACGGUCUGCGGGCCCCCUCCCUACGAACCAGAUGCCCUGUCAGGCUGCCACCUCCUUCCUACUUCCCUGGAGAGGAUCUUGUGGUUUCUCAACAGCCUGCCCACCAGCUCUUGUAGACAAAUCCCACACUGGCUGA
rnacentral:lncRNA from 1 species